UGACGGGGGCCCGCACAAGCGGUGGAGCAUGUGGUUUAAUUCGAUGCAACGCGAAGAACCUUACCUACUCUUGACAUCCAGAGAACUUUCCAGAGAUGGAUUGGUGCCUUCGGGAACUCUGAGACAGGUGCUGCAUGGCUGUCGUCAGCUCGUGUUGUGAAAUGUUGGGUUAAGUCCCGCAACGAGCGCAACCCUUAUCCUUGUUUGCCAGCGAGUAAUGUCGGGAACUCCAGGGAGACUGCCGGUGAUAAACCGGAGGAAGGUGGGGACGACGUCAAGUCAUCAUGGCCCUUACGAGUAGGGCUACACACGUGCUACAAUGGCGCAUACAGAGGGCGGCCAACUUGCGAAAGUGAGCGAAUCCCAAAAAGUGCGUCGUAGUCCGGAUUGGAGUCUGCAACUCGACUCCAUGAAGUCGGAAUCGCUAGUAAUCGUGGAUCAGAAUGCCACGGUGAAUACGUUCCCGGGCCUUGUACACACCGCCCGUCACACCAUGGGAGUGGGCUGCAAAAGAAGUAGGUAGUUUAACCUUCGGGGGG
rnacentral:rRNA from 1 species